rnacentral:rRNA from 1 species
CAACUUUCAACAAUGGAUCUCUUGGUUCUCGCAUCGAUGAAGAACGCAGCGAAAUGCGAUAAGUAAUGUGAAUUGCAGAUCUCAGUGAAUCAUCGAAUCUUUGAACGCACCUUGCGCCCUUUGGUAUUCCAAAGGGCAUGCCUGUUUGAGUGUCAUU